UGUUGACAUUUGUCCUAGUUAUUUUUCCUCUCAUUCUUUCACACCUCUUCUUUCCCUCUCGUUUUUGGUCUCUCUCUCUGUUUGUUGUUUGUGUGGUCACAUGUUUGGUUUUAGGUGCCUUGUUUAAUCCCACCCUCCUGGCCUGAGAGAGAGGAGGAGGGGAACUGCAGGCGAGAAGUGAGCAACAAGAUAACAUGGAUAGAAGAGGCAAGAAGCAUGGAGGGUGGAAUAUUGUGCUGCUAGGGAACAUUGGAAAGGAAAGGGGAGACACCCAGGAUUUACAUAAAGCCAGCGGCUCUGGUUUUCAGGAUUACUAGCUCUUUCCUUCUCUACAUGCUGGGCAAGAAUCCAGAUGGGAAAACGGGUAAUUCCUCCUUCCUGUAUUUUCCAGCCCAGCUUCUGUGCUGUUUUUCCGUUAUGGCUUUUGCUGCUAUGGUCGGCUGCAUUGGUUGGGCCUCACUUAUGUUGCACCACUGAUGGCUUGCUACUCCAAGCAGAAGCAGAGGAGUGAAUGAAUUGGGGCAUGAGCACAGGGAGGCCACACCCUGUAUCCAGCAGCCAUGCUCCUCCGAGGACUGCGGCUCUAUGGGAAGUGGUGCCGUUUUUCCAGUCCCAUUACUCAGCUCCUUACCUUAACUAUGGUGACAUUUGGCGUGUUGGCUCCCUUGAUUUGCCACCGGCUCCUCCACUCCUAUUUUUACUUACGCCGCUGGCAUCUGAACCCCAUGAGCCAGGAUUUCCUGAAGCAGAACGAGGGGGAUGGCCAGACUGCCCUCCGUUACUUUGAGGACCUGCGGACUCCUAACUCCUCAGAGAUCUCAGGCGACAAGGCCCUCAGACCAUGGCUGCUCAUCACCAUCAUCACCGUGCAGAGGCGGAAUGAGUUCCACUAUGUCCUACAGGUGGCUUCCCGUUUCCACCGCCUCCUCCAGCAGUGUGGCCCUCGCUGCCGGAGCCACCAGGUCUUUCUCUGUAACGUGGAGCAGGACCCGGGCAGCCACCAGGAUGCCAGGCUGUUGGGUAACUUCUUUGCAAUGGUCAGCCGCUACAAAAACUGGGAAGACCCCGAUGCCGCAGUGAACCAGUUUGAGAAGGAGAAGCGAGACUAUGCCUUCUGCCUGGAGCAGUCGCUCUUGGCCUACAGUCCAGAGUACGUCCUUCUGGUGGAAGACGAUGCUGUUCCCGAAGAGGAGAUAUUCCCUGUCCUGCAGCACCUGCUGCUGGCCCGGUUCUCAAAGCCACACCUCAAAGAUGCCCUCUACCUGAAGUUGUACCAUCCUGAGCGGCUUCAGCGCUAUAUCAACCCAGAGCCCAUGAGGAUCCUGGAGUGGCUCGGCCUGGGCAUGUUUCUGGGCCCCCUGCUGAGCUUUCUGUACUCCUGGGUGUCUGGCCGCCCAAGCCUUACCUGGCCCAUUGUCCUGUUCUUUGCCUUGUACAGCAUGGCACUAGCAGAGCUGGUGGGUCGCCACUACCUGCUGGAGCUGCGCCGGCUGGCCCCUGUGCUCUACAACGUGGUGCCGGUCACCGAGUGCUGCACGCCCGCCAUGCUGUUCUCCGCCCCUUCCGCCCACCGUGUCUUGGGUUACCUUCAAGAGCUGCACUGCCGUCGGGGCUUUGCCAAAGACACUGCUCUCUACUCCCUGUUGCGCACCAAGGGUGAAAGGGCCUACGUGGUGGAGCCCAAUCUGGUCAGGCACGUGGGGAUGUUUUCCAGCCUCAGGCCAAAUGACAGCCCUAAGCUACUGUGACCCACCAAGAAAUGCCUUUAUGGAAAGACUGUGAGCCAAGAGAGCCUUGUCCUUGGACAGACAUAUCAGGUGUGACUCCAGAUGUCAUGCCACUUGCAACUGUGCCCAGAACUACCAGCACCACCUAGUGGAGGGAAAGGAACUUUUAAAAAAAAAGUUUACUUAAACCUAUAGUUACAUGAUUUAUUUUAUAAUGAAGAAGUGAAAGGAGGGUGGAGGUUUUCAGGGAAGGGGAGGGUUUGCUACUAUCCUUAGUCAUUUUUGGGGGGAGACCCAAACACACACACACACCAUUUGCACGUGAAUGUGUCUCCUACAGCAGUAUCCAACAAACCAGUCUCUAGUAUCACAGACCCGAGACCAAUGCCACUCCUGUGGUCACAUAUGUCUCGGUCUCAAGGCACUGGAAAUGCUAGCCAGGGUGAGUGCAUCAGGCACAAGCUGACCUAGGAGGAAAUAUGGAGCUGGAGAAUAGCCCUUGUUUCCCCCAACCUUCUCCAUAGCUUACCCCGAUGAUCUGUUCAUCUCCUCAAAUAAAAACAUGAAGAGAUCUUUACAAGAGGCACGAUGCAUAUAACGAGCCCCUUACCCCACAUUCUGCAUAUGGUUCUGGGAACAUGUUUCAAGCUGCUUCAGCACCUCCAGGUCUUCUCCUUUGUGGGUAACACGCCUCUUCCCCCAAAGCUCUCUUUUCACCUUGGAGCAGAGGAUCUGAAACAAAGUCCAUGUUCUUCCCCAUUGCUUCAGCUGGGGUCCCCUAUGGAGCCAAGAACACUAAAACCAAACAACCUCCCGCUCGCUGUAUGUGGCUUGGAUUCGCUGGCCCAUGCACAUACUCUCUCACACACACACAGCCUCCCAUCAGAACAACCUUUGAGAUUGCACAUACAGCUACCUCUCAUAGGUGAGGAAGAGCAGAUUCCCCAUUUAGGCUCUGAUCCUGUAUCACCGGGAGCUCACUCAUUAGCUUUAUUGAGUGCAAGCCCUUAAAACUGGCCCUAGACAGAUUGCCACCUAUCCUGAUUUUCCAUGGAUUCCACCUGCAGCAUGGAGAAGCUCCAGUUUGCCUUGGGCAGCCCAAUGAAUGAUCCAGCAUGAUCAUGUUAUUUACGGGAAAGGUGAAGGAACAGUUGCAGCAGCAUGGUGUCACAGUGCACUUAUCUUGCCUCAGCCUGCAGUUAGAUAUAGCUGACAGCUGCAGAAGACACAGUUCACUACUCCUACCAUGAAUAUCUGGGCAUGGUCAGAUGAGCAAGUUUCAGUAAUGUGUCAUAUUGAAGGGGCCACUUCUAAACAGACACGUUAAAUAACUAAUCUUCUGAUCUGAACUGCCGGGGAGUUUGGAUGGUUUCCAAGAGUUGGCUGCUUUCUAGCAGAACUGUUCUGGGUGCAUUGAAAACCGAAACCACAUGAGAAAUAAGAUCUUGGGGAUUGUUACAAAUUCAAAACUGCCUUUGAAAGGUUUGUACCCCAUGGCCCUGAUCUACAGCCCAUUGCAGUCAAUGAGAGUCUUUUUAUCAAUUUUAGGGUGCUUUGGCCCAGGCGCUAUAUGAGGAGACCUACACCCAGUUUUGAGUGGCAUUUGGGUGAAACUGUGUGCAAAUCACAAAUUUUCCUGGCUUCAGAAUGAACCAAGUGAAACAGUUUUGGGGGGGAAAAAGAGUCCCACUUUCAGUUUUCUUUCUUUCAUUUGUCAGAGCCUGGAACUCAUGGUAAAACUAGGAGUAGUAAGGGUAGAUGUGUGUCUGUGUGUGAACCCAUGUGGACUGAAACCAAAGAAAAUAUUUGCACAAGCCCCCUAAGAAGUAAGUUUCACACAAAAACGACGAGGAGUCCUUGUGGCACCUUAGAGACUGAUACAUUUAUUUGGGCAUAAGCUUUCGUGGGCUAUAGUUCAUGUUCAGGCUGUGAGGGGUAACUGACUUGUAAAGUGCUCAGCACAAAGGAGAUAGGCAGUCAGUCACAGGGUGUCACUAGAGCACAGAACAAUGCCAGCUCAAGCACCUGAACUUUGCCUCUUGCUAGAUCAGCUGGGAUUCUUUUAGAGGAUCCCUGUUGUUUGCACAAGGGCAUGCCAUGCCUUGCAUGCACAAGGGCAUGGACUGUAAGAGCUGACAAAACAUUACAUUUUAUUUCUACACAGCAGUCACCAGCAUCCAUCAGGACUGAUGCUGAAACCUGUUCCCAGACUGAGUGCAGCUGGUAUCUGGCUUCCCCGUGUCUCCCUCGCAGAGAGCCACGCACACAAAUAUCUUCUCGAUAGCGACAAACCAGCUGGACUUUGAGACAGUUGAGCAAGACCCUAAGGCACAGAAAUCAGCUACAUGGCAGCUGUCCCCAAUGUGAGAGGAGAGAUGAAAGACGUGUAUUCCACUUAGGUGUGUAUGUGCCACGCACACCAAAGCUGGAGAACUUUGCCUAGUAGUACCUGUGCACACCUGAGUAGAAUAAACAUCUCAAAGAACAAAAGUUAUGGUGCAAGUAAGUAACCGUCUUUUUAUCAUCAUUGGGCCAGAUCCCCAGCUGGCUCUUACCCAUCAAGGAGCACACUAGCUUUCUAGAGUUUGCUCCAGCCUCUACACCGUAAGCACACAUUUCCC